rfam:Methanohalophilus mahii DSM 5219, complete genome.
GGAUAAUGGCAUUUAUGCCAGCAGGUGAAUGGCUCGGCUCAAGGACCGAUGAAGGACGUGUCAAGCUGCGAUAUGCCUCGGCUAGGCGCAUGAAGCCUAUGAACCGAGGAUCUCCUAAUGAGACCUCUUGACCUUAAAUGGUCGAUCAGUAAUGAUCGGGAACGUUCCGAAUUGAAACAUCUUAGUAGGAACCGGAAAAGAAAUCGAAGAGAUGCCGCUAGUAACGGCGAGUGAACACGGCACAGUUCAAACCGAAUCCCUCUGGAAACAGAAGGGAAAUGUGGUGUGGUAGGACUUUUCCAAGGAUCCUUUCUCACUGACCCCGAAUUUGACUGGAACGUCAAACCAUAGAGUGUGAUAGUCACGUAGGACUAAGUGAACGGAUCUGGAAUUGUUCCAGAGUACCGUGCGUUGGAUAUCGCGCGGGAACCCGGGAGGCAUCAACUUCCAAAACUAAAUAUCUCUUGAGACCGAUAGUGAACUAGUAGGGUGACCGAAAACUGAAAAGUACCCCAAAAAGGGAGGUUCAAAGUGCCUGAAACCUGUUGGUUAUGGAACGAUAUGGCAUGAAAGGAUCUGCGAAAUGAAGGAAACAGUCGCGAGGCUGGUGUACGAGUUUCGUUGCCGAUGUCAUAUCUUACGUUUUGAAGAACGGGCCAGGGAGUGUAUUUCAAUGGCGAAGGCUAACCGAGAGGGGAGCCGAAGCGAAAGCAACAAGCAUGCAGCCUUCGGGCAAGAUGCGGCGUAUACAAGUGCGUGGAGUCAUUGGAAUACGACCCGAAGCCGGGUGAUCUAGGCGUGGGCAGGUUGAAGCGUGGCGAAAGCUACGUGGAGGACCGCAAGCGGUACUGACCUGCAAAUCGUUCGUGUGACCUGCGUCUUGGAGUGAAAGGCUAAUCAAACCCGGCAUCAGCUGGUUCCUUCCAAAACAUGUCGUAGCAUGACCUAACCGGAGAUAGUCGGUGGUGUAGAGCACUGAUUGGGGAUCCCGGGGGAGAAAUCCCUCGCUCCCCUGUCAAACUCCAAAACUACCGUCGUCUAAGAAAGUUGGAGUCCGGGCUACUGGGGUAAGCUUGUAGUCCGUAAGGGAGAGAACCCAGCCCGUGGUUAAGGUCCCUAAGUGUCGACUAAGUGUUAAAGAUAAAGGGUGUCCCAGGCCCUAAACAGCUGGAAGGUUAGCUUAGAAGCAGCUACCCUUUAAAGAGUGCGUAACAGCCCACCAGUCGAGGUCUGGGGCCCCGAAAAUGGACGGGGCUCAAGUCGACCACCGAUACCACGGAGUACCGAAAGGUAAUCUUGUAGGAAGGCGUUGCGUUCGGGCAGAAGCAGGGUUGUGAAGUCCUGUGGACCGUACGGAAACGAAAAUCCUGGUAAUAGUAGCAGCAUAGUCAGGUGAGAAUCCUGACCGCCGAAGGGGCCAGGUUUCCUCGGCAAUGAUCGUCAGCCGAGGGUUAGUCGGUCCUAAGACGUACCGUAAUUCGAGUACGCCAAAAGGGAAACAGGUUAAUAUUCCUGUACCGUUUAGCAUUAAAACCAACGUCUCAGGGCAGGUUGAGCAGCGUUGUCGCGCUGUCUAAGCAUCGAAACCCGUGGAGAGCCGUAAUGGCGAGAAGCGGGCGAAUAUGUUAUUGCGAAAGUCAACUGCACCCCGGGACCCGUGAAAAGGAAGCUAAACGACCGUACCAAGAUCUGACACUGGUGCCCCUAGCUGAAAAGGCUAAGGCGUGUCGGAAUUAAUCUGGCUAAGGGAAUUCGGCAAAUUGGCUCCGUAACUUCGGGAGAAGGAGUGCCUGCCAUGAAGAUGGCAGGUCGCAGUGACCAGGGAGCUCUAACUGUCUAAUACCAACAUAGGAGAUCGCAAACCCGAAAGGGCUAGUACGAUCUCUGAAUCCUGCCCAGUGCGGGUACCUGAAACUUCGGUCCAACGGAAAGAAGGGCCCGUAAACGGCGGGGGUAACUAUGACCCUCUUAAGGUAGCGUAGUACCUUGUCGCUUAAUUGGCGACUCGCAUGAAUGGAUCAAUGAGAGCUCUACUGUCCCUAGCCAGAAUCCGGUGAAGCUUACAUUCUAGUGCAAAGUCUAGAGACCUCUAGGGGGAAGUGAAGACCCCGUGGAGCUUUACUGCAGCCUGUCGUUGGGUUGUGAUUUCGGAUGUACAGUGUAGGUAGGAGGCAUCGAAGCCCGUGCGCCAGCAUGGGUGGAGCCAACAAUGGGACACUACCCUUCUGAAGUCGCGACCCUAACUCCGAAAAGGAGGACCCCGAUAGGUGGGCAGUUUGCCUGGGGCGGGACGCCCUUGAAAAGAUAUCAAGGGCGCGCAAUGGUUGACUCAAGUGGGUCGGAAACCUGCUGAAGAGUGCAAGAGCAUAAGUCAGCCUGACGCGAUUUAGCAUAGCAAUGGAUCGCGAGACGAAAGUCGGUUCUAGCGAACCUUUAUGUCCUGCUUGAUGCGGGCUAAAGCUGACAGAAAAGUUACCCCGGGGAUAAUUGUGUCGUUGCCGGCAAGAGCACAUAUCGACCCGGCAGCUUGCUACCUCGAUGUCGGUUCUUUCCAUCCUGGCCGUGCAGCAGCGGCCAAGGGUGAGGUUGUUCGCCUAUUAAAGGAGAUCGUGAGCUGGGUUUAGACCGUCGUGAGACAGGUCGGUUACUAUCUACUAGAGGUGUAUGUGGUCUGAAGGUAAGUUGCUCUUAGUACGAGAGGAACAGGGCAACGGCGUCUCUGGUCGAUCGGUUGUCUGACAAGGCAGUGCCGAGCAGCUACGCGCCAAAGAAUAAGAGCUGAAAGCAUCUAAGCUCGAAAUCCAACCUGAAAAGAGACCACUGUAAGGAUACCGGUAAAAGACCGGUUUAAUAGGAUCGGGAUGUAAGCACUAAGGAAACGAGGUGUUAAGUCCGCGGUUACUAAUAAUCCGUGCCGCUUCCAAU